rnacentral:lncRNA from 1 species
UAUAAAUCAAAACAUCGUGUUAUUUCUGAUUAAUUUUUCGAAUUACUUUAUUAAGGUGUUGAGAACCUUUGGAGGCCCCAUAGUUUAAGUGUCUUUAAAAGUACAUAGUGAGCAGUGGUCGUUACAUACAAACGUUCACCUAAAUUGUCCCAGUCAAUGGAUGAAUUUAAUGUGUCAAUCAAUGGCCACAGCCACACUGUUUUGAAUUUCAUUCUAAUGCUUUGCAUCAAGUUUCCCCUUGGUAUAUGUACAAAAUGGCCGAUCUCUAUUAUUCAUUGCAUCUGUAGUUUUGAUACAAUUGAAGUUUGAAAAGUUCGUACAAAAAUGACUACAGAAGGGGUCAUAAACCUUAAAAAAAAUCCUGUCAUUGUUGUAUAUAAAGAUAAAACAUAUUUAGAGUAGAGUGUUUAUGAUCUCAAAUCCAAGAUACUCCUUUAUUUUUAAUUUUUGAUAUAAAUGAUAAAAGUAAUUAAAAUGAUGGAAAUUAUAAAGUAAAAAUGUAUUAUGGUCUGAAUUAAGUACGAUUCCAACGAAAAUCAUAGCUGGUCGACUCCUCCUUUAUUUCUUGAACAACUGAAAUUCUUGGCACGAUCUUUUCAAUUUGUGUUUUUCCAAUUCAAUUUUCUAUUCGAAUAAUGACAAUAAUCAGCCAAAGCAAAAAUCGAUUCUAUUUUGUACAUUUACUUUCUUGUCAAUAUUCAAAAUAAUUAAAUUUCUCAGAAGUAAAAUCUGAUUUAUAGUAGUGUCAAGUAUGAUAGACUGAACCGUUUUAUUUAAUUUGCUUCCAUGUAAAAGUUUUGUAAUCAUCGUGUGAAGGAUAGCAAGUCUACCUCCUUAGUCUAAAUAUAGCAAAGCUACCUUUUGAAAGUGUUUUAUAAUGGGAAAUAAAACUACUUUAACAAGAUUUACAUAUUCAUAUGCAUUUGGGAGUCAUAAACUGACUUUUAAAUGAAACAUUUAUUAGUCUUUUGAAAUAGAUUAUAUUAAUGACUGUAUUGAGAAAUGUUAAGUUAAACGAGAAGGUGUAAAAACCCGUAAUGACGGUGCAUUCCAGUAAGUGGCUUGUGACGUUGACUCAGCAACUAGGAUUAUAGGUUUGAAACAUGUAUAAAAAUCAUCGAUCAUGAAGUCGAGGGGUACACAUGGUUGCAUAGGUUCAAAAUAUGGGACGUGGGUUUUAUUUUUUCUAUUUGAGGGAAUGCUUUUUUUUUAAUAUCAUGGAAAUGAUUAAAGGGAAUGUUUUUUUUUUAAUAUGACGGAGAAAGAAAAAAAAACACCAAAUAAACCCUCACAAUUAGAAGAGUGCACAGUUUUACAUUUAAAGGUAUACAUAUUAAAUAUGAAUAAAAAAUUAGUUUUUCUAAAAAAAGUAGAUAAAAAAAAUAAAUGCUGAACACAUAGACCUAUAUAAGAUACUCAAACAAUUAUAAAACAUGUACAUUACGAAACUGAUUAGUUGUAUGUGGCAUAUUGUUUAACAAUUCUUGCUAGAAUGAUAAUGCAUUUAAACUAUAUAAUCACUUGUUUAAAAUAAAGAAUAAAUGUGUUAAGGGUUUCUAAACAUUACUUCUUUUUUUAUGAGGAAAACUUAAACACGCAUACUUUUUAACAUUAUUUAGAUUUUUAUAUUUACUUUUUUUAGCGUUUCGAACAUUUUUUACAAAGCGCUGGCUGGUGUAGACUUCUAGUCAUAGGUCAUGAUUCAUAGGCCAUGAAAUGCCGCUUCCUUGUGCAAUUUUAAUUGAAUUAUGUGUAAAUUGUGAUAAAAGUGAAUUCCAUGUUGUUAUUAUUAUUAUUACUAUUCUUAAAAUUGUUGUUUUACUAAAAAUAAACUUUAAAUAUCAAAUCAGUGUUAUUUUUUGUUUUACUUGUAUUCUAGAGAAAAUAUACGAAAUACGAAAUAUUUUAUUAAAGAAAGCUCAAUUAUGAACAUUAAUAGCAUAGAUACAACAAAGAAUAACAUUUAAACAAUAUAUAUAUGGUGGUGGAUAGAGAAAGCUACAGAAACAUCUCACUGUUUACAACGAAGGAAACCC